CGGCCAUUUUGGGCGUUGCUUGGCGACGCGGACGCCCCGGGAGGGACGACGGGAGGGAGAACGAAGCCGCAGUGGGUGCAAUGUUUCGAAGCAGAACCUAGAAUCCCAGAGAAAGACUUAAAUGCACUACUUAUUCUCAAGACUGAAGAAGUCAGCAGGAAAAAGCUUUCACUGAACUUUUGACACAGCAGUCUUAGAGUUUCUCCCACAAAGUGUGGAUAUAUGGUAUAAUUCAGUACACUUUGCUGAAGAGAUGAAAACGGGGAAGGUGUUUGGUCUUUGUUAUAAGACAAAACAGUGUCUUCAUAUGCAAAUAUUUGUAAAUCACGCAAAGGUAGGAGGUGGAAAAACAUAAAUAUUCAUCAUUCUUAAUGAAACAUUUAUUUCUGCGGGUUUAGUUGAAGGUAAAUUUAUCAAAUAUGAUAAUUAUAUGAAUUACUGCUAAUAAGUUUUAAAUCUUGUUCAAUUUCCAUGGCUUUGUAAAUAUUAUCUAUACCUUUCACACAGGGAGUAGGGGAGGGAGGGAGAAAAGGGGGCUGGGGAAUCAUU